UUCUGCAUGCUUUAGCUUCAUUACUAUAGCAACAGUCUGGAUUGUUAUUGAUCAGUCUACAUAAAUAUUGGCAGAUGCAGACAUGACCAUGUGGUUAAGAAGCUCAGUUUGCAACCACGUAGCUUUGGGUUGAGUCUCAGCAUGUGAAACUUUGGGUUGUGUUUCCAGCUUGGUGUUCCUGAAAAUCGAAAUGUUUGACUUUCUGAGCAAGAUUUUACUGUUCAGUUGAAGACGUUAAAUCAAAGUACCAUACACAACUUCAUACUUUCAUUACUAUUUAGUUGUGUUUCCAGCUUGGUGUUCCUGAAAAUUGAAAUGUUUGACUUUCUGAGCAAGAUUUUACUGUUCAGUUGAAGACAUUAAAUCAAAGUACCAUACACAACUUCAUACUUUCAUUACUAUUUAAUGCCUGCCUACAUUGUUGCUGUAUGAAGACCACCCGAUCAACAGACCAACGGUUGCCUCUACACCACCACCUAACAGGACAUCAACUAUGUCUACAAGAUCAACAGUCCAGCCUAACCAUGAAGUCUCUCACACAUCUUUGUUGUAACUUGUUAUGUUAUUUUAUUUCAUGUAUGGCAAUCAUUGUAUUUUAUAACAGAGAAUAAAUUGUCGCUUACCAGUUCA
rnacentral:lncRNA from 1 species